UAUAUAGCGUGGAUUCAUAACAUUGAACUUGCGGCCAACAGCGCCAUCAUUCAUGACUGAGAAAAGCUAAGUUACACAUGUAUUUGCUCCGGAGGGCACAUCACAGCUUCCUUGCACUGAGCAACUCUAGACAACACUUCUGCACUAUGCUUGGGGCCAUUGAAAACAGUGAAAUCACCCACAAAAAGCACAAAAAUGUGAAAAACGUGGCCCUAAGUAAACCUCGAAAAGGACACGUUUAAAGUCUGAGCUGAACUGAGAAGGCAGAGGUCGCCAUGGCGGAACCCAGCUGGAGACCUGUGCGUUGGGCCAUUGAAGUUUUCCCUACCCUGUGUACGUCCAAGAAUGACCAUAACAACACUGUGAGUAUCGACUUUGGGGUGCAAAUACAUUUUAGCGAGCAGGCAAAUUCACACAUAUGGAAUCUGCAAAUAGUGAGGAUCAGCUGUUUGUUAUUUUCAAGUGUUUCGUGUUUAUUGUUGGGCUUCCCUUUGCUUAUUCAGUGCUGUAUCCCAGCGCCAAACAGGGUCAAGGUGAAGAUUCACAUAGAUGCCUUAUAAAUAUUUAUUGACUGAUUGCCCUGCCCCCCCCCCACACACUUACAACACAGGGUCCUUAUCAGGUCUCAGAGCCGAAAAGAUGGGGCAUCUUGUUUCUGGGCACCAGAGGCAAGGGAGAGAAGGAAGAUUCUGGAAAGAGGGGGUAGGUGAGAGUCCUUGUCCUAAAACUUCCCUAUUCCUGGCCUCCUCUCCCUACUUAUUCGUCCCAGGGAAAGCUGUGUGUUGUUAAAACCCCCUCCCGCAGGAACGGAUGCGGGCACACGCAGUACGGGCACAGCCUGGCUGAGGACCCCUGCGUCCCGCUCCCGGAAGGACGGUGUGCUUGUGCGCGUGUGUGUGCCGUGCCCCCUCGCGUGUAGGCACGUGUGUGAGCACGGGCUCCAGCCUGCCCUGACGAGGCCUGCUGGCUUCCUAGCAGCUGCAAAGCUUGCUGCGCUCACAGGGCCUGUAAUCACGGGAAAUUACCGAGCCCAGAACUAAAACUGCUGCUGCCACGAAACCUGCUUACGAAGCCGAGUGCCUGGAAGAGGCCUCGGGAGGCUGUGCUGGGAGCUGCAAUGUCUGGGGAGGACAAGGGUGGAAACUGGGCAGGGAGGCCACAGAGAGGCCACAGAGAGAGGAAAGAAGCCUCUUGCAUUUGCCAUGAGCCCAUGAACCGAUAAGCACUGUGCUAGUUAAUUCUAUGUUUCCGUUUAUUUGAUCCUCACAGCGGCCCUGCGAGGUAGGAAUGGUCCCAGGGGUACCGAUGCCAGACCUGGUCUCAGAGGUCGAGGAAGGAGUUUCAGGUCAUGAAGCUUGUAACUAGCAGAGCUAGAGUUUGAACGCAGGGGUGUCUGCCUCCAGGGCAAGGCCUGUGGGGCAGGGAGAGGAGAGCCCCGUGAGCUAAGUGGGAACGGGUCUCACAAGAGGCAGGAUUCUCUGGCUUUAAGUAUUUGGUGCUUGGUGUAAGGAGCACUGAAAAGAAGACCCCCAUCCAUAAUACUGCCCCCCUCCCGCCUGUCACAUGGUCCACAGCACACCUGUUAAUGCUUUAGGGUGAAGGUGGCCCUGUGGGAACCCACAUAUCCCUCCAGGGAAGAAACAGGUGAAUUGUGCAUGCUGACAUCAAGUCUAAGGGACCCUGUUCCAGGUGCAGGGUCGCCCCUUCCCCAAGCACAGCACCCCCAAACCUCAUAUGAGUGGGCAUGAGGGCAGAGACUAUAAACCUGCACCUGCACCUGCACCCAGCUGAGGGCCUUUUCCUUUUCUUCUUCCUUUUCUGUGGCCCUGCACAGACCCCUGGCCCCAGAAGGACCUAAAUGUGACCCUGAGAGCUGCCCUCCCCACCCCUUCCCCCUGCCAGCAAGCAGAUGGUUAGUGAACAGUGGGUGAUGGUGGUGUCUGUGGAGGGGCAUUGGGUGGGGCAGGAACUCCGCCUGCAGAGGGCAGCGGCUGGACUGGGCGGACAGUCACCCACACUGUCUGGGCUGGGCUCUUUGGGUGAGAAGCACCCCGAACCCCUCCACUGUCUCAAGGAGAGCCUGGCUCACUGGCCUGGGGGCCGUGGAUAGAGAAAACUCAACCCAGAGGCCCCAUAUGGCAUAUGUUGGCACACAACUGAACUGGCCUCCAGCCAGUACUUUCAUCUGACUGAGCAAUAAAAUAUUAAUAGUGUCAGGGACUGUUCUAGGUCACACACACACACACACACACACACACACACUCACAUACACAUACUUGCUGAGAGCCCUUUGAGGAAUUAGCAUCAUCCCCAUUUUACAGAUGAGAAAACUGAGGCACAGAGAGGUUAAGUGGUUUGCCCAUGGCCAUAGAGCUGGGUGAUCACGGAGGCUGAAUUUGGACCCAGGCAGUGUGGCAGCAAAGGUUCUGGGCUAACCACUAUGCUAUAUUGCCUCUCUCGAGUCCACAGUCCCUUGGUCUUUCCCAGGCAAGAUACACACUGUGCAGCCUGUCUGGUGAGUGGCCAUCUGGUCUCUGCCUGAAUAUGACCCUCACGGUUCCCUGCAGGCGGCUUUCCUGGGUGGAAGGGCCCUUCUUGAGAAGCUGAAGCAGCCUCUUGGGAGUGUCCGCCUCCUGGGUCUGCUCACCUGGCCUUUUAUGUCUCUGCGGGAACUGGAACAGGACAGUCACGUGCCAGUGGACAUGCUCGGGCACCAGCCCUCACAACCCUCAGCUGUUCACCAAAGGGCUGGAGGGAGCCUUCGGUGAGCCCAACGGCCUGCCGGACCUGAGGCUUCACUUCACGUGAGCUUGUUCAUCUUUCUUCUGUUUGGGUGGUGAUCAGCAUUCAAUAUUUUUAAUGAAAUGGAAGAAUAAAAAUAGAAUGCAUCUUGCCUGGUGAGGGUUCCUGCAUCCACAGCAGCCAGCCCAGGAUCUCCGUGAGGCCGAGCCCAGGAGUCCCCUUGCUCCCCACAUUGCAGAGCCAAGCCCAGCUCCGGGGGCCACAGGAGAGAAGUCAGCUUGCCGACUGAGCAAUGAUCAAAGGGACCCCUGCGUGACGUGCGCUCACCAGGUGCCGGGCUCUGUGCGCAGCGCUUUACUUGCUUCAUCUCUUAAGCCUCAUGAAGUACUGUUCCAGGCACUGAGGAUACACUAAUGAAAACAAACACAAAUAUCGGACCAAACAGAGACUUGAACUAUCCCUGACAUAGAUCCUCCGUCCCCAUGACAGAGCCUCGUGCAGCUCUGAAACCGAUAGCCAGAAGGGCAGACUACCAUAGAGAGACAGACACACGGAACAGAAGUGUUCAGAGCGAAAGUGGGACAAGGCACAUGGAAACUUUACAAACCACCGGCCCAGUGGUUAGUACAGUUCCUCUGCUAGGAAAUUACAAGGCUGCCCUUUGACUUUCUUCUGGACUUGCAGGCUGAGAGGCCCUUGGAAACAGCUGCAACAUCUGCUAGCCAUCCUUUCCCAUGGAGGGAGACGGGGCCAGGGCUUGAUUGGGCUGGGGCUACCAAGCAGGUCCAGCGGAGGCCACUUCCUCCUCCCAGAUCCCUAUAAUAUCACUUGUAGAGCCAGGGCAGGCCUGGCGCCUCCCCAGACCCACCACCAGACCCUGCUCAUCCUGCCUGCCGCCUCUGGCUUCUCAGAGUGGGCUGGGUCCACCAGGGGCGCACCCUCUGCAGGGCCCAGGGAUGUCAGCUUCCCCAAAGGAAUGCCAGGCUCGGGGGCAGGGGCACCAGCUGAGCCCAUGCGAGCUCACUCUCUAGGCAGGACCGGGCUGUGUGAGAUUAGAGGUGGGCAGGUGAACGCGCACUGCGGCGGAGGUCGGGACUGGCGGCACCAAAGACAGCUGGGGGUAAUGGAAGAGACUGAUGAGCCGGGGAGAACAUGCGCAGGCUCAGCGGCCAUGGCUCAGGGGCCCAGCUGCUCCGCGGCAUGUGGGAUCUUCCCAGACCGGGGCACGAACCCGCGUCUCCUGCAUCGGCAGGCGGACUCUUAACCACUGCGCCACCAGGGAAGCCUGGAGAUAAGGCUUUUAAAGAGGGGAUUCAGUUAAAAUAAAGUCAUAGGGUUGGUCCCUAAUCCAAUAUGCCUGGUGUCCUUUUAAGAAGAGGAGAUUAGGACCCAGGCACACACAGAGGGAAGACCACGUGAAGACACAGGGAGGAGAUGACCAUCUCCAAACCAAGCAGAGAGGCCUCAGAAGAAACCAGCCCUGCCGACCCCUGGAUCUUGGACUUCGAGCCUCCAGAAUCGUGGGGAAGUAAACUUCUGUCCUUUAAGACACUCAGCCUGUGAUGUUUGCUACAGCAACCCAGCAAACUAACAUAGGUGCAAAGCUAUUUGAAUACGGCACUGCCUUAAGCAUGGUCACUUUGAGCUCCCCUGGAGGUCCGCUUGUCCAGAUGCUCUGUCAGGAAAGAGAAGUACACUUUUAGGAUCGUACUCCUGGAUUACUAUUUCCCAUGGAUUAGGGUCCAAACUGACAGGACAUCACUUCUCAGCGAUGAGUGGUAUCUGCCUUUAAGGAUGUAGGCGAAAACCAGACACAGCAUCGCCAGUACAGAGACCAACCAGAAGGGUACCCACUGUCUUCCUCUUGGACAUUUAAGGGAUACAAGUGCCUCUUCCCACCUGGAGUGAACAGAAAGUCUAUAAAAAAGAGGAAUUCAUAAACAUCUAGCGAGUGCCUGAGGCAGCACAGCGUACCAGAUUCUAGGAUGUGUGGGGUGCUGAAACUUCUUAAUCUGGGGGGCAGGGUGUGUGUCCACCAGACAAUUAUAACGAUAGCUAACCCUUUUCUAUCUCAGACAUUAGCGACAGGCCAUAUUCUAAGCAUGUUACACAAAUCACCUUCAUUAAUCCUCACACAACCCUAUGAGAAAGGCACUAUUUGUGCCCCUAUUUUAUGUAUGAGAAAACCGAGGCAGAAAGAGAUCACGUGACUUGGCAAAGAUUACACAGCUGGUAAGAAGGAGGAGUAAUAACGUUAGAGGGAGAAGAGACUUGAAGACAAGAGAAAGGAAGGGUGAGGGCACAAGGGAGCAGACACAGGGGUUCCCUUCCAAAAUCUUGUCCUCCAGUUUGGAAUGACUUCAGGACACUUAUUGGAACCCUUCAAUGAAGAACUACUUAACUCACCACUGGGGUCUAGGGAGUAUUUAAUCUGAAGAUAAGCCCUACGAGACUAUAGGUGAGAUAACCAAAAACGUCAGUUAAAGUGAAGAAUGAUAAACAAUGGCACACAGAUCUUACGUAUUUUGGGACAACUUCUAAGAAGUAUGUAUCUAUUAACCACUCUUGAUAUAUGGCCAAGCGCUUUUCUUUGAGCAGAAGCCUGCUGACUGGAACUCUAAUUUGUCUAUUUUUUUUUUUUUAUAAAGCCACACCCAUGAUGCCUCAUCUUUGGUUUCCUGUUCUGGUAUUUUAAUAUGUAGAGCAGUGAGGGUGUGGGCUGGUUCGCACUCUCUGGCCCUCUUUCUGUCUGUGCACAGGGCGGAAUGGCCCUUCUAUGCCCACCUGAAGUUGGUUACGGCCACGUGACUUCCCUGGGCCAGCAGAAUGUAAGUGGAAGCGAUGGCCUGAACCAAAGCCCCUACUCACCAUGACGAAUCUGCAGCAUGACUAAGAAAAAAACCCUGUGUGGUUUAACCACUGAGGUUUGGGGGUUACUUGUUAUUGCAGCCUAGCCUACCUCCUCCUAACUGGUACACUCGUCAAAUACUACGAGUCCAGUCUUAGCCUGGAUAUUUAGAUGUAUUUCUCUAUAUUUCUCCAGUAUUUUUGUAUGGUCUCCUUAGACCUCAUUUCACAAUUCUUUUUAGCUAUUUGCUUUUACUUUGGGAUACCCAGGAGACCCAGCCCUUAUUCAUGAUGCUGUUUCUGUGGUAAAAGUGUGCAACUCCAAGGAGAAGCCCACUGGGCGUGCAAAAGGCAGCACAUUGAGUGUGGUCAUCUGGGGCACCCUGAGGGCAGGACCCACGCCCACCCCUCUCCUACUUUUCCCUCCUGCUGAGACAGACAACUCGCCAUGGACCAUGGGCAUCCCUCAACAUUCCUGCUGGGUACUCCACGAACACAAGGCCCUGACCGCUCUCCACUUGGGCCACUUACUCCUCAGGGUCAUGUUUGCCACGAGCAACCCUGAGAGAAGAGGUAACGUCUCCCACCAGGCAAA